CGGCAGACGGGUGAGUAACACGUAGGAAUCUACCUCGGAGUGGGGAAUAGCUCGCCGAAAGGCGGGGUAAUCCCGCAUACGCUCGCAAGAGGAAAGUCGAAAGACGCUCUGAGAGGAGCCUGCGCACUAUCAGCUAGUUGGUGGGGUAACGGCCUACCAAGGCGACGACGGUUAGCCGAUGUGAGAGCAUGAUCGGCCACAAGGUAACUGAGACACGGUGCCUACACCUACGGGUGGCAGCAACUGGGAAUCUUGCGCAAUGGGCGAAAGCCUGACGCAGCGACACCGCGUGUGGGAAUAAGGCCUUCGGGUCGUAAACCACUGUGGCGAGGGAUGAAAUUUUGACCGUACCUCGCUAGAAAGCACCUGCUAACCACGUGCCAGAAGCCUCGGUAAUACGUGGGGUGCAAGCGUUAUCCGGAUUUACUGGGCGUAAAGCGUACCGUCGGUGUCCUAACAAGUUGCAGGUUUAAGCCUGGGGCUCAACUCCAGAAAAGCAAGCAAAACUGUUAGGAUUGAGUUGGUUCGGGGAAGCUGGAAUUCUCGGUGGAGGGGUGAAAUCCGUAGAUAUCGAGAGGAACGCCAAUCGCGAAGGCAAGCUUCUAGGACUUAACUGACACUCAGGGACGACAGCUCGGGGAGCAAAGGGGAUUAGAGACCCCCGUAGUCCGAGCCGUAAACCUUCCUUGCUAGCUGUUUUCCGUUUAACGGGGAGUGGCGUAAGUUAACGCGUUAAGCAAGGCGCCUGGGGAGUACGACCGCAAGGUUAAAACUCAAAGGAAUUGACGGGGGAGCGCACAACCGGUGGAGCAUGUGGUUUAAUUCGAUACGAAGCGAAAAACCUUACCUGGGUUUGACA
rnacentral:rRNA from 1 species